rnacentral:rRNA from 1 species
CGGAACACGUACGCAACCUUCCCAAAACUGGUGAAUAGCCCUCCGAAAGGAGGAUUAAUACACCGUAAUAUAUUUGAGUGGCAUCACUUGAUUAUAAUAGCUCCGGCGGUUUUGGAUGGGCGUGCGCCUGAUUAGGUAGUUGGUGAGGUAACGGCUCACCAAGCCAUCGAUCAGUAACUGGUGUGAGAGCACGACCAGUCACACGGGCACUGAGACACGGGCCCG